rnacentral:sRNA from 1 species
UAAGUGUCGAAAUGCAGGGCUACAAAC